rnacentral:misc_RNA from 1 species
GCCUAUUCCCCUCAAUUUCAUCGCUAACAAGGGGCUUUUUUCAUUCCUCCCGUACUCUCUUGUACCUGUAAUUCUGUGUAUACAAAGACAAUUUGAUUGUAAUCAAUGGGUUAUGAGAUAAGCUCAAAACUUGUAAGUGUAGUUGUGUGUAUAAGCAGGGAUUUUGAUUGUUUUACCCCAAAGAAAUCAAUGGGGUUUUCGUUCAUGAGGUGAAGUUAAAA